rnacentral:rRNA from 1 species
GACAGAGGUGCCAAGCGUUAGGCGGAAUCACUGGGCGUAAAGCGUGCGUAGGCUGUUUAGCAAGUUGGAAGUGAAAGCCCAGGGCUCAACCCUGGAAUUGCUUUCAAAACUGCAAAACUAGAGUCCGGGAGAGGAUAGCGGAAUUCCCAGUGUAGUAGUGAAAUACGUAGAUAUUGGGAGGAACACCAGUGGCGCAAGCGGCUAUCUGGACCGGUACUGACGCUGAGGCACGAAAGCGUGGGGAUCAAACAGG